UACGUAGGGGGCGAGCGUUGUCCGAAGUUACUGGGCGUAAAGAGCGCGUAGGCGGAUCUUUAAGUGAGGGGUGAAAGGUUCAGGGCUUAACCCGGACACUGCCUUUCAUACUGGAGACCUUGAGUGCGGGAGAGGCGAGUGGAAUUCUUGGUGUAGCGGUGAAAUGCGUAGAUAUCAAGAGGAACACCCAUGGCGAAGGCAGCUCGCUGGCCUGCAACUGACGCUGAGGCGCGAAAGCGUGGGGAGCAAACAGG
rnacentral:rRNA from 1 species